rfam:Mycobacterium phlei DSM 43239 = CCTG 21000 Contig14, whole genome shotgun sequence.
CGCGGUCUUCGGUAGUGGCUGCCGGAAACGAUUCCGGCCGCUUCGAUCGAUGGCCGUA